UUGAGCGGAGAUAUAUGGAGCUUGCUUUAUAUAACUUAGCAGCGAACGGGUGAGUAACACGUAGAUAAUCUAUCCUAUACUGGGGGAUAGCCCGAUGAAAGUUGGAUUAAUACCGCAUAUAGCUAUAUAGUUGCAUGAUUAUGUAGCGAAAGAUUUAUUGGUAUAGGAGGAGUCUGCGGCACAUUAGCUAGUAGGUGAGGUAAAGGCUUACCUAGGCGACGAUGUGUAGCCGGUCUGAGAGGAUGAACGGCCACAAUGGAACUGAGACACGGUCCAUACUCCUACGGGAGGCAGCAGUGGGGAAUAUUGCACAAUGGGGGAAACCCUGAUGCAGCAACGCCGCGUGAGUGAAGAAGGUUUUCGGAUUGUAAAGCUCUGUUAGCAGGGAAGAGGAAGGACGGUACCUGCAGAGGAAGCCACGGCUAACUACGUGCCAGCAGCCGCGGUAAUACGUAGGUGGCAAGCGUUGUUCGGAAUAACUGGGCGUAAAGGAUGCGUAGGCGGUUAAACAAGUUAUAUGUUAAAUAUAUAGGCUUAACCUGUAGAAAGCAUAUAAAACUGUUUAACUAGAGUGCAGGAGAGGUAAGUGGAAUUCCUAGUGUAGCGGUGAAAUGCGUAGAGAUUAGGAAGAACACCAGUGGCGAAGGCGACUUACUGGACUGUAACUGACGCUGAGGCAUGAGAGCAUGGGGAGCAAACAGGAUUAGAUACCCUGGUAGUCCAUGCUGUAAACGAUGGGUACUAGGUGUGGGUUGUGAAUAACAAUUCGUGCCGUC
rnacentral:rRNA from 1 species